ACAAUCUAAGACAGACGGUCUUCCGGAAUGAGGGUCUUCAGGUAAUGGCACUGGUCUAUCAACAGUGUGCAUUCUGAACAUUCUGGUAGACGGGUGAUCUUCUCUUUCAACUGUCUUCUGAGCUCCAAGACUUCUCCUCCAAGGUAGUCCUCUGACUUCUGUCUCAACUCCAUCUCUUUCUUCAACUGAAUGUCUUUGUCUUUGAGUUGCUUCUCCAAGUCUUUGAUCUUCUUC
rnacentral:lncRNA from 1 species